rnacentral:rRNA from 1 species
UGUGAUCAUACCAGCGUUAAUGCACCAGAUCCCAUCGGAACUCUGCAGUUAAGCAGUCUUGGGCUAGAGUAGUACUGGGAUGGGUGACCUCCAAGGAAGUCCUAGUGUUGCACCCU